rfam:Planctomycetaceae bacterium SCGC AG-212-F19 AG-212-F19.8, whole genome shotgun sequence.
CCCACGGCUUACGCCGUGGGCUACUAUUGUGCCGCCCCUCCGGGGCU